rnacentral:piRNA from 1 species
CAACCUCUGCUCCAGGCAAGACC